AGUGAACGCUGGCGGUAGGCCUAACACAUGCAAGUCGAACGGCAGCACAGUAAGAGCUUGCUCUUACGGGUGGCGAGUGGCGGACGGGUGAGGAAUACAUCGGAAUCUACUUUUUCGUGGGGGAUAACGUAGGGAAACUUACGCUAAUACCGCAUACGAUCUACGGGUGAAAGCAGUGGAUCUUCGGACCUUGCGCGAUUGAAUGAGCCGAUGUCGGAUUAGCUAGUUGGCGGGGUAAAGGCCCACCAAGGCGACGAUCCGUAGCUGGUCUGAGAGGAUGAUCAGCCACACUGGAACUGAGACACGGUCCAGACUCCUACGGGAGGCAGCAGUGGGGAAUAUUGGACAAAGGGCGCAAGCCUGAUCCAGCCAUACCGCGUGGGUGAAGAAGGCCUUCGGGUUGUAAAGCCCUUUUGUUGGGAAAGAAAAGCAGCAGGUUAAUACCCCGCUGUUCUGACGGUACCCAAAGAAUAAGCACCGGCUAACUUCGUG
rnacentral:rRNA from 1 species